rnacentral:rRNA from 1 species
AGUGAACGCUGGCGGUAGGCCUAACACAUGCAAGUCGAACGGCAGCACAGUAAGGGCUUGCUUCUACGGGUGGCGAGUGGCGGACGGGUGAGGAAUACAUCGGAAUCUACUGUUUCGUGGGGGAUAAAGUAGGGCAACUUACGCUAAUAACGCAUACGACCUACGGGUGAAAGCAGGGGCUCUUGGGACUUUGGGUGAACGAAUGAGCUGGUGUCGGAUUAGCUAGUUGGCGGGGUAACGGCUCACCAAGGGGACGGUCCGUAGCCGGUCUGAGAGGGGGAAGCGGCCCUGUGGGACCGAGAGGCGGUACAGACUCCUACGGGAGGCAGCAGUGGGGAAGAUUGGACAAUGGGCGCAAGCCUGAUCCAGCCAUACCGCGUGGGUGAAGAAGGGCUUCGGGUUGUAAAGCCCUUUUGGUGUGAAAGAAAGGCAGCAGGUUAAUACCCCGCUGUUCUGACGGUACCCAAAGAAUAAGCACCGGCUAACUUCGUG